CUUUCUUUGCUGCGUCUACUGCGAGAAUGAAGACCAUUCUCAGCAAUCAGACUGUCGACAUUCCAGAAAAUGGUAUGAGACUUGAUGUCUUUUACUUACAUCUUUACUGCGCGUUCCAAGCGUUGUGUGGCCUGACGAGUGUGUUCUCUCUUCUAGUCGACAUUACUCUGAAGGGACGCACAGUUAUUGUGAAGGGCCCCAGAGGAACCCUGCGGAGGGACUUCAAUCACAUCAAUGUAGAACUCAGUCUUCUUGGAAAGAAAAAAAAGAGGCUCCGGGUUGACAAAUGGUGGGGUAACAGAAAGGAACUGGCUACCGUUCGGACUAUUUGUAGUCAUGUACAGAACAUGAUCAAGGGAGUUACACUGGGCUUCCGUUACAAGAUGAGGUCUGUGUAUGCUCACUUCCCCAUCAACGUCGUUAUCCAGGAGAAUGGGUCUCUUGUUGAAAUCCGAAAUUUCUUGGGUGAAAAAUACAUCCGCAGGGUUCGGAUGAGACCAGGUAUGUGCAUACCCUCAGACAGAAUUAAGAAAUUUUUCCUUCAUAUUUUUUUCCUCCUUUUCCACUCCCUACUUCCGU
rnacentral:sRNA from 1 species